CAGUCGCCGCGGGAAUACAGAGGGUGCGAGCGUUAAUCGGAUUUACUGGGCGUUAAGCGUGCGUAGGCGGCUUCUUAAGUCGGAUGUGAAAUCCCUGAGCUUAACUUAGGAAUUGCAUUCGAUACUGGGAAGCUAGAGUAUGGGAGAGGAUGGUAGAAUUCCAGGUGUAGCGGUGAAAUGCGUAGAGAUCUGGAGGAAUACCGAUGGCGAAGGCAGCCAUCUGGCCUAAUACUGACGCUGAGGUACGAAAGCAUGGGGAGCAAACAGGAUUAGAUACCCGCGUAGUCCCUGUCUCUUAUAC
rnacentral:rRNA from 1 species